rnacentral:rRNA from 1 species
GACGAACGCNGGCGGCGUGCUUAACACAUGCAAGUCGAACGGGAUGAUUUAAGAGCUUGCUCUUGGAGAAUCUAGUGGCAAACGGGUGAGUAACACGUAGACAACCUGCCGACAGGAUGGGGACAACAUUCCGAAAGGAAUGCUAAUACCGAAUGAAGUCGAGGGAGGGCAUCCUCCUUCGAUGAAAGAUGGCCUCUUUUUAUGCUAUCACCUGUCGAUGGGUCUGCGUCUGAUUAGCUGGUUGGUGAGGUAACGGCUCACCAAGGCGACGAUCAGUAGCCGGUCUGAGAGGAUGAACGGCCACAUUGGGACUGAGACACGGCCCAGACUCCUACGGGAGGCAGCAGUGGGGAAUCUUCCGCAAUGGGCGCAAGCCUGACGGAGCAACGCCGCGUGAGUGAAGAAGGUCUUCGGAUCGUAAAGCUCUGUUGACGGGGACGAACGUGCGAGAGGUGAAUANUCUNUGCAANGACGG